rnacentral:rRNA from 1 species
CAAAAACAUCGCCUCUUGCAAAUAAAGAAUAAGAGGUCCCGCCUGCCCUGUGACAAUACGUUUAACGGCCGCGGUAUUUUGACCGUGCAAAGGUAGCGCAAUCACUUGUCUCUUAAAUGGAGACCUGUAUGAAUGGCACAACGAGGGCUUAACUGUCUCCUCUCCCCAGUCAAUGAAAUUGAUCUCCCCGUGCAGAAGCGGGGAUUAGAACAUAAGACGAGAAGACCCUAUGGAGCUUUAGAUACUAAGACAGAUCAUGUUAAACUCCCCUAAUAAAGGAAUGAACUAAGUGACCCCUGCCCUGAUAUCUUUGGUUGGGGCGACCGCGGGGUAACAUAAAACCCCCAUGUGGAAUAGGAGUACUUCCCCUAAAACCAAGAGCAACAGCUCUAAGCAACAGAACAUCUGACCAGCAAGAUCCGGCAACGCCGAUCAACGAACCGAGUUACCCUAGGGAUAACAGCGCAAUCCCCUUUUAGAGCCCAUAUCGACAAGGGGGUUUACGACCUCGAUGUUGGAUCAGGACAUCCUAAUGGUGCAGCCGCUAUUAAGGGUUCGUUUGUUCAACGAUUAAAGUCCUACGUGAUCU